CAUUUUUGGGCUUAACUUACCUUUAGUGCCCAGGGCUGUUCAAUACACAGCUAUACUUCUAUUUUUGUCUUAGUGUCUUCUACAGAACUAGGUCCUUAUGGUAUUUUAGUUUUUUUUUUUGGUUUUGUUUUUUCCUGUCUUUUGAAGGACCUGUGAUCUUUUAAUGUUGGUAUUGAUCAUUUUGAGUCUUUGCCCUCUGGUUUGAUCCCCCCCCCUUUUUUUUGACUGGAGUAUCUUAUAUCAGUGUUUGUAGUUUUGAGUAUGAUUUAUUACUCAGGUUACUGUAAAUGGAAUUGCUUACUUUAUUCCAGUCUUCAGAACUACUGUGUAGAAAUAUAACUGAGCCCUAUAUCCUAACUUUCUGAAUCUAGUAGUGAUAGCUGAAUGAAAAAUGAAAUAAAAGGAGGACAUGACUACUCCUAAAGUAUGGAGAAGACUUUUAUUGUAGGUAUGAAGGAGAAAGCAGGCAGGGGAGGGUCCAGGCUGAACAUGGCUGGCAGACUAAACAUGAGGAACCACUGACCAGGACACCAAGACCAGAGUAAGCAAGAAGCUGAGUUAUAUAAAGGGAGGAGGGGAGUUAGGAUAGGGGCAGUUUUACACCUUCCCUUUCAGUCAGAGUGCCUUUCUCAAUGAACUGCUUGGUCUAGAUCCUUUGUAUCAUUUUGUGAAUGGAAGCAGGGAAAAUCUCUUCAAGGAGAUCCCUAUCCUAGGGAAAUGCCAGUCUUUAAUUACUGAGUGUGAUCAGUUUGGUGGGAGGGGGAUUCUUUGUUCCUGGUCUUUGAUUUUUGUUGUUUCUCUGUGUAGCCCUGGCUGUCUUGGAACUCACUCUAUAGACCAGGCUGACCUUGAACUCAAGAGAUCCACCUGCCUCUGCCACCUGAGUGCUGGGAUUAAAGGUGUGUGCUGCCCCACCCUCCAGCUAUUUUAAAAUUUUAAUCAUGAGUGAUCAUCUUGCCAACUAAUUUUAAAUUGCACUUACAUAUCAGGCUAUUCCCAAAGCCUUUUGGUGUACAUUUGUUUAUA
rnacentral:lncRNA from 1 species